rnacentral:rRNA from 1 species
AACGAACGCUGGCGGCGUGGAUAAGACAUGCAAGUCGAACGGGACACUGUGAGUAGCAAUACAAGCAGUGUCUAGUGGCGAACGGGUGCGUAACACGUGGAUACAUUCCGGGAAGCGGGGGAUAGCCCAGGGAAACUUGGAUUAAUACCGCAUGUGGUCGAAAGACUAAAGGCAGGGACCGCAAGGCCUGCCACUUCCCGAUUGGUCCGCGGCCUAUCGGCUAGUUGGCGGGGUAAAAGCCCACCAAGGCUACGACGGGUAGCUGGUCUUAGAGGACGACCAGCCACACUGGAACUGAGACACGGUCCAGACACCUACGGGUGGCAGCAGUCGAGAAUCUUUCACAAUGGGGGCAACCCUGAUCCAGCCAUGCCGCGUGAGUGAAGAGGGCC